GUUCCUUGAAGGUGAUCCUGAGACCUGAACAUGUCUUUAUUGCACUCUGCCUCCUGACUGUCAUAAAAUGAGAGGGCCUGUAUCACCAUGCACUGACAGUCACAAGGACAAAGGGCACAAGUGGUCAUAGAUUGGAAAUUUCGGAAACCAGGAGCCAAAGGGCUCGCUCUCUCUCUGUGUCGAGGAACACGUCCCGUCCCGUCCCCGCCCCCCGACAUACACUGAGGACUCUAGGUGUAUGCUGCCACAUUGUGCUGGAUGAAAUGGGUGCUGUCUCCCACCUUGUCCACUCAAGAAGCAGAGAGCUUUACUCGUGUCACUUUCUAAUCCAUGUCACCGAGAGUGCUAUAUUAUACAGACCUGAGCCUGUCUGGAUCGGUCUCCUGAGCCCCCUUUAGACAUCUAUGUAUCUCCUCCAUAAAAUUACCCCAAUUCACUCAAAAGCUUUUCAUACAAGCCUCGGAGUACACAAACUGCAAA